rnacentral:lncRNA from 1 species
GCACCCCCUGUCCACCCUCCUGCUGAGUCAUAUUCCAAGGAGCUUCUCUGAUAUUGUCCAAUACUUCUCCUUUUCUCACACUCUCUCUUGAGCCUCCUUCAGCCCGUGUCUCUGUGUAUCGAUCAAUCGCAUUUCUGCUUUUCAAUGAUCUAUUCACCAGCAGCAGAAGGACUUUUACUUUGAUAUAUGAUGCCACUUCAAUCUCCAUUAAAUGAAUGUUGACGACAUGAGUACAAAAGAUCAAUGCCAGACAUACAUAACUGGUGCCGUACAUGUCCAGUGCAUCACAGCUGUCUGGAAAUGUUGCUUUCGUAGUCAACUGUGGUCCAGAAAACAGCUCAAAGCGGCUGUUAAACAAGUUCAGUUUCCAAAUGUUGCUAGCAGACAGUAAAUAGUAAGUUUGGCCAGGUCUCUAGCCGGGGUUCUGAAACACCUAGCACGGUGGUGUGCAGGCAUGCAUCAUGCUAUGAGGCCAUGCAAACACCCGUUACCCGUUAUCUUUUAUGUACUACAUUUGAAGAGAGAACAGGGGAGCAGAAAAAGAUCACUUGUUGAAAAGUAUUACAUGACUCAGGUAUGUGCUGCUGAAUAUCUUUGUUUUAUUUUUUUUUUAUUCUUUUUUACAGAGAAGCAAGUAAGACAUUUCAUUAUUAUGACUUUGUCAGAGUAUUUGUUUGGUGCUGUUUUCUCCAUUUAUCCGACCGCAACACGAAUCCCUUUAAGGACAAAAUCGCCUAAUCCUUUGCCAAAUUUUUUUUUUUUUACCCCUGCUUUUAUCCUCUCUCUUCUGGGGCUUCCAUGGCCACGCUUUGCACGUGGGUGCUCCUCAUAGGCUGCGUCCUCCUGUGCCUCUGCAUGUGGAAUGAGAACAAGCAGGGGGUUAAUAGCGCUGCUUCUCUGCUCUUGGUGUCAGAACCCCUGCUCCUUUUAUAUGUUCAUAUACUUUGAAAUACAUGGUAAUGUAAUUAAUAACCAAAAUUAGUCUAAAAUUGUAUCAAGUGAAAUUAGUUAAAUUAAAAGUCACAUUGUAUCACCUUCAGUAUGUACGUGACAAAAAGUGAAUUAUGAUGGAGAGGUUAUAGUAAUGAGUGUGAGGAAAGGUAAUGAACAUUAAGAUGACAGCUAAUGGCUUUGAAAUAAAAGGAUGAAUAAAGAUAAGAAUAAACA